AAAUUUUAAAACAAAUAAAAUCUCAUAUGGUCAGUUUAACAUGCAGGUUCAAUAAAUCGUGUUCCGAAAUGUUGGAAUCAGAGGUUUUAGAGGAAACUUUGUUGUUUUUCCUAGUGAUAAAUACAAUUGUUUUCAUAAAAUAAUUUAAUUUUGCUCUAAAUUUUAAGAGUAAUUUAUGUUUUCUAUUAAAUAGUGCCUCAAACUUAUUAAAACUGACUGAAUUGUGUAUUUUUUAAAAUUAAAUAAAUGUUCAUUUCCUUGUUUGUUUUAUACUGCAACAGCUUUUAAAUGACUGUGGGAAAAUCUCUAGUCCUAAAAAAGUGGUUUUAAUCCGUUAAACACAAGAAAUAGCAAGAAGAAAGCUUAUUAAAAACAUCUAACCUACAAUUUCUACAAGUGCAGCAGAAACAAAUUACUCUGAGUGUAAUCUCUUGAUUUUAGAUGUUUUUAAGGUUUACCAAUCAGUGAGUUUAAGAAGUAAUUAUUCAAAUGUGUUUAGUUUGAUUUCAAAAAUGUAAUGCAUUGAAGCUAAAUGACUUUGUACUUUAAUCUGUACUUAAUCAUUGUACGCAGUAAGGAAGCUGCUUAAAGAGAUAAAGACUGACCUUUGAACCUUCCAUGAAUUGCAUGAUAAACUUUGCGAUGGCGGUGAACAUGCUGUAAUUCUUUUAAAGUGAAACUGUUCCUUAAUGCUAAAAAUCUCUUCUUUUAAAUCGUAUUCAGGCGUGGACAAAAAAAACUCAGUCAUGCUCUUUUAUAUCUCCCUUUCGUAAGUAUGUCGAAUCCUCCUUUUUGAAGUCUACACCCUCCUGGACGUCCACUUGACUGAGGGUUGCUUUAUUUCAGGAUUCCUGCCUAUUUAGGAUGCAUCGCUCUGUUUAUUUUGUGGUGCCAUCUUGUAAAAAAACGCAGAGGAGCUGCAGAAAGGUCCAACGAUCUCAGCGCCUCUCCAUCUGUAUACUUCGUCCCUAUUUAUGAACUCGAGCAGGACUUCAAUGAAGCAUACCUUCCAUCUUCUGACAGAGACUCUUCUUCGUUUGACUCAGGAAAUGUGACUCUUCCUCCUCCAUACAUGACUGAACCACCAUCAUACUCCGAACUUCCUCCAUCAUAUACGGACCCUCCACCUUACAGCGAAGAUCCGUGACCCUCCUCCUCCUCCUCUUUGUCUACCUAAGUACUUAUUUAUGUGAUCAAUGCUGCUAAAACAUGGCUGAAUUAUGCAACAAAAUCACAGCUGAGGGUUUGCUGAUAAAAUUCUGUCGGAUCACUAUUUUACAAUCUCUCUUCAUGAAAGAAGAAGCAGAAGUUACCUCACAGCCACUGAUAACCAGAACAGACCUGCACUGGAUUUGGUGCAGAAAUGUGAACAGCAGUGACAUGUUUUGUCAUGUUGUGUUUUAUUAAAAAGAGCACUUUGAUAAAUUAAAAAAUAGAAUUUUUAUAAAGGAGAUUAUGUGUGUAAAGGACAUAGGAGAGUGCUGUACAUUUAAAAAUAGGUAUAUGCACAAUGAUUUAAGGUGUUUUCUCAUAAUAAAAUACUUUGUUUUCCAUUAAUAUUUUGUGUUUUAUUGAAAAAAAUCCAACAACCCAAUUACUUUGGUUAAAAAAAAGGAGGAAAUUUGAACACCACAAUGCUGCUUUAUAAAAAGUUACUUUUUAUCACAUCAUUAAUAAACAACAUUAAACAAGUAAAAACGUUUAUGAAUAAACCGUAAAAUGAAUUGCCUUUUUUCCGAUCCUCAUUUAUUUAAAAAAUAAAUGCACUGAUUUAAAAUAAUUAGAUUUUUUAAAAUUAUUGAUAAUUUAAGAUUUUAUAUAUCAUCUGAUGAGCUAAAAUUGAAAGUUUUAAGUUGUUAAAUAUUUUGCAAUAUUUAAUAAUUUACAUGUAAUAGUUUUAAAUAUAUUAUAGUUGUCUGCAGUAUUCUAAACUGAUUUAGCUUCGUCAAUACAAAAUAAAAUAAAAACGUCUUGAGUGUUUAUGUGCAGGACAAUGUGCAUGUCUCUUUAAGGCUGAUGUUGAUGCUGUAAAACCUCUUCUAUCUAUGCACCUCCCUGACCGACAUAACCCUCUCAUUGCACCACAGGCUGGGUAACUUUUCUUUUUAAUUAAAAUAAAAAAAGGUAAGAAUCGAUCUUUUAAUAUUUACAACCCAUUUAAAUCUAUCUUAAACAUUUCUGGAAAUUAUGGACUUUCUUCUGAUUCAUCUGCAAUCUCAUGGUUAAAGAUCAACUUGUAGUCGAGCUCUUAACAGGUAUAAAUCAGAUGACAUGAUUAUUAUUUUUCUCCUUUUUGUGGCGCUGCUUUCUUCCACUACAGGUAGUUUAUUCUGUGCACUAUACACAACUUUUAAAGCUAAUGAAAGAUGAGGGAUCAAUCCAACCCUUUGAAUGAACUAAAGUGUUAAUAAUUUGAGGUAAAAGCAAAAAAUUCAACCUGAGAAAUGAAACAAAGCAUGUCACAUUUUCAAACUCAAACCAUUUUUUAUCAAAGAUUAGAUUUUUAUAAUUUCUACUGAAAUUUACGCUUCAAUUUAAAGUUUCAAUGUACAAAGACAAACUUUGAAUUCAAACCAAAUUCGUAGGCAUAAAAAUUCUUCUGUUUGUGUUUCAUGGCAGGUUAGAUUUCUACAGCUAUGGGUUUAGACAUAAAUUAUUUUCCAAUUCUGUAAGUAUGAUAGUCUAACAUUUCCAGUACUCAUUUUUUAGAGGAAGCUGCCUUUACUUGACACGUGGCAAAAUGUGUUUCCAGAAUGCCAUUUUUGGUGCUAUUUGUGGCUACCAUACUCGUCUGCUUGUGCUUGUUCUUCAAAAAGGAGAAAACAGAGUCAGAACAUCAGAUCGAGUUGGAAGAACCUCCUAAUUACAGCGGCAUGGAUCACCCUCCACCAUACUCACUGUAUGACCCUAAGCUGACAGACAUUUGGAGAAGAAGCCCACCUCCUCCCUAUGACACGUGUCCUGUGAUGCAGCCUAAUGGAUGGAGGAC